rnacentral:rRNA from 1 species
GGGUUGUGAGGUUAAGCGACUAAGCGUACACGGUGGAUGCCCUGGCAGUCAGAGGCGAUGAAGGGCGUGCUAAUCUGCGAUAAGCGCCGGUAAGGUGAUAUGAACCGUUAUAACCGGCGAUACCCGAAUGGGGAAACCCAGUGUGACUCGUCACACUAUCAUUAACUGAAUCCAUAGGUUAAUGAGGCGAACCGGGGGAACUGAAACAUCUAAGUACCCCGAGGAAAAGAAAUCAACCGAGAUUCCCCCAGUAGCGGCGAGCGAACGGGGAGGAGCCCAGAGCCUGAAUCAGCAUGUGUGUUAGUGGAAGCGUCUGGAAAGGCGCGCGAUACAGGGUGACAGCCCCGUACACAAAAGCGCAUGUGCUGUGAGCUCGAUGAGUAGGGCGGGACACGUGGUAUCCUGUCUGAAUAUGGGGGGACCAUCCUCCAAGGCUAAAUACUCCUGACUGACCGAUAGUGAACCAGUACCGUGAGGGAAAGGCGAAAAGAACCCCGGCGAGGGGAGUGAAAAAGAACCUGAAACCGUGUACGUACAAGCAGUGGGAGCACCCUUUGGGGUGUGACUGCGUACCUUUUGUAUAAUGGGUCAGCGACUUAUAUUCUGUAGCAAGGUUAACCGAAUAGGGGAGCCGGAGGGAAACCGAGUCUUAAUUGGGCGUUAAGUUGCAGGGUAUAGACCCGAAACCCGGUGAUCUAGCCAUGGGCAGGUUGAAGGUUGGGUAACACUAACUGGAGGACCGAACCGACUAAUGUUGAAAAAUUAGCGGAUGACCUGUGGCUGGGGGUGAAAGGCCAAUCAAACCGGGAGAUAGCUGGUUCUCCCCGAAAGCUAUUUAGGUAGCGCCUCGUGAACUCAUCUCCGGGGGUAGAGCACUGUUUCGGCUAGGGGGCCAUCCCGGCUUACCAACCCGAUGCAAACUGCGAAUACUGGAGAAUGUUAUCACGGGAGACACACGGCGGGUGCUAACGUCCGUCGUGAAGAGGGAAACAACCCAGACCGCCAGCUAAGGUCCCAAAGUCAUGGUUAAGUGGGAAACGAUGUGGGAAGGCCCAGACAGCCAGGAUGUUGGCUUAGAAGCAGCCAUCAUUUAAAGAAAGCGUAAUAGCUCACUGGUCGAGUCGGCCUGCGCGGAAGAUGUAACGGGGCUAAACCAUGCACCGAAGCUGCGGCAGCGACGCUGAUGCGUUGUUGGGUAGGGGAGCGUUCUGUAAGCCUGUGAAGGUGGCCUGUGAGGGUUGCUGGAGGUAUCAGAAGUGCGAAUGCUGACAUAAGUAACGAUAAAGCGGGUGAAAAGCCCGCUCGCCGGAAGACCAAGGGUUCCUGUCCAACGUUAAUCGGGGCAGGGUGAGUCGACCCCUAAGGCGAGGCCGAAAGGCGUAGUCGAUGGGAAACGGGUUAAUAUUCCCGUACUUGGUGUUACUGCGAAGGGGGGACGGAGAAGGCUAUGUUGGCCGGGCGACGGUUGUCCCGGUUUAAGCGUGUAGGUGUGUGUUCCAGGUAAAUCCGGUUCACUUUAACACUGAGGCGUGACGACGAGGCACUACGGUGCUGAAGCAACAAAUGCCCUGCUUCCAGGAAAAGCCUCUAAGCAUCAGGUAACACGAAAUCGUACCCCAAACCGACACAGGUGGUCAGGUAGAGAAUACCAAGGCGCUUGAGAGAACUCGGGUGAAGGAACUAGGCAAAAUGGUGCCGUAACUUCGGGAGAAGGCACGCUGACAUGUAGGUGAAGUGAUUUACUCAUGGAGCUGAAGUCAGUCGAAGAUACCAGCUGGCUGCAACUGUUUAUUAAAAACACAGCACUGUGCAAACACGAAAGUGGACGUAUACGGUGUGACGCCUGCCCGGUGCCGGAAGGUUAAUUGAUGGGGUCAGCGCAAGCGAAGCUCCUGAUCGAAGCCCCGGUAAACGGCGGCCGUAACUAUAACGGUCCUAAGGUAGCGAAAUUCCUUGUCGGGUAAGUUCCGACCUGCACGAAUGGCGUAAUGAUGGCCAGGCUGUCUCCACCCGAGACUCAGUGAAAUUGAACUCGCUGUGAAGAUGCAGUGUACCCGCGGCAAGACGGAAAGACCCCGUGAACCUUUACUAUAGCUUGACACUGAACAUUGAGCCUUGAUGUGUAGGAUAGGUGGGAGGCUUUGAAGUGUGGACGCCAGUCUGCAUGGAGCCGGCCUUGAAAUACCACCCUUUAAUGUUUGAUGUUCUAACGUGGACCCGUGAUCCGGGUUGCGGACAGUGUCUGGUGGGUAGUUUGACUGGGGCGGUCUCCUCCUAAAGAGUAACGGAGGAGCACGAAGGUUGGCUAAUCCUGGUCGGACAUCAGGAGGUUAGUGCAAUGGCAUAAGCCAGCUUGACUGCGAGCGUGACGGCGCGAGCAGGUGCGAAAGCAGGUCAUAGUGAUCCGGUGGUUCUGAAUGGAAGGGCCAUCGCUCAACGGAUAAAAGGUACUCCGGGGAUAACAGGCUGAUACCGCCCAAGAGUUCAUAUCGACGGCGGUGUUUGGCACCUCGAUGUCGGCUCAUCACAUCCUGGGGCUGAAGUAGGUCCCAAGGGUAUGGCUGUUCGCCAUUUAAAGUGGUACGCGAGCUGGGUUUAGAACGUCGUGAGACAGUUCGGUCCCUAUCUGCCGUGGGCGCUGGAGAACUGAGGGGGGCUGCUCCUAGUACGAGAGGACCGGAGUGGACGCAUCACUGGUGUUCGGGUUGUCAUGCCAAUGGCACUGCCCGGUAGCUAAAUGCGGAAGAGAUAAGUGCUGAAAGCAUCUAAGCACGAAACUUGCCCCGAGAUGAGUUCUCCCUGAGACUUAGAGUCUCCUGAAGGAACGUUGAAGACGACGACGUUGAUAGGCCGGGUGUGUAAGCGCAGCGAUGCGUUGAGCUAACCGGUACUAAUGAACCGUGAGGCUUAACCUUACAACGCCGAAG